rnacentral:rRNA from 1 species
GCCUGCCCAAUGGUUGUAUCUAAAAGCGGUUGAUAAAAGUCGACCGCGUAAGGACAAUUGAAUGGCCGCGGUAACACUGACCGUGAUAAUGUAGCGUAAUCAAUAGCCAAUUAAUUGUUGGCCAGUAUGAAUGGCGCCACGAAGGCCCCACUGUCUUAAGGAAAUUCCCAGUGAAAUUGAAUUYGUAGUGAAGAUGCUACGUCCAAUUUGUUAGACGAAAAGACCCCGUUGAGCUUUACUGGGGCACUUACACGGCCCCGGCCUUCAAGACUGGGUUGAUAAGCCAAGGCUUACCAUACCUAGGGACCGGCCGAAUUUAAAUGGGUGGCUUAGACUAUGUGGCAGCCCCCCCCGUCGGGGCAGAUGAAACCCCACUCCCCCAUGUCAAAGGGGCUAACCCCCCCCCCUUGGGGGGGGACAAUGUAAGUAGGACAGUUUGGUUGGGGCGACCGCCUUUUAGAAAGUAACGAAGGUGCGCUUAAGGUGCGUAAUUAAUGACUGAAGCCUGACUGCGAGGGGGAUACCCCGAGCAGACACCCCCAAGCCCGCCCGAGAAGGCUUUGCCUUCUGGGCGGCGGUGGGGUGGGCCAUAGUGACCCGUUAAUUUAGAGUGGAAUAG